AUGAAAGUGGUUCUAUGGAGACUUGCUCACGACUGCCUCCCAUCCGGUGUCCAACUCCAUCGUUGUCAUGUGUCGACGUCUGACUUGUGCUGUUUUUGUGGCAAAAUGGAAGGUAUUGAGCACUCGUUGUUCUGUCCUUUUGCUUAUGAGGUCUGGUCGCAGGUGAAGCAAUCUUUUGACAUCAAGUUAUGGCGGUCUAAUUUUUCUUGGCCAAGACAGUGGCUCUUCGAUUUCCUCUCACGUUCUUCCGACUUAAUGGCUAUAGUCAUGGUUGUGACUAUUUGGCAUAUUUGGGAGGCGUGGAAUUCUGUACGAAACAAUGAAGAUGAGCUGCACCCUGUUCGUACUGCUUUCAAGAGUAAAUCUGAUGUUUAUCUGAUCGUUUUACAUCUAUACAAACCAGACCCUGCGCAUAGGCGUGAGAGCAUUGCUUUAAGCACUGCUUGGUCUCUGCCGCCACCAGGUUUCCUUUUAUUCAUGUCUGAUGCUGCGAUCUUCUCUGAGCUAGGGAAGGUUGGUGCAGGGGUGGUCGCUCUAAAUUCUAAUCGUCAAUGUGUUUUUGCCUGCCGAGAAGCUACCAAUGGAAGGCAUGUUCCUGAAUUGGCCGAGGCCUUGGCUCUUUGCCGAGCUGUUUAUCUUGCACGAGAGGAAGGAUGCGACUCGGUAAUCUUCGCCUCCGAUUGCCUUUCCCUGGUGCAGAGGGUCAAUUCUCCUGUCCGCGAUCGUUCACUGGUGGGCUCAGUGGUGUCGGACAUCAAAUAUGGCGCGUCGAGCUUCUCUUCUGUGUUGUUCAAGCAUAUUCAUCGGCAG
rnacentral:rRNA from 1 species